GUCGGUAAAACUCGUGCCAGCCACCGCGGUUAAACGAGAGGCUCGAGUUGAUAGCCUUCGGCGUAAAGAGUGGUUAAGGAACAAUUAAACUAAAGUCGAAUUUUCUCAAGGCUGUUAUACGCACCCGAGACCAUGAAGCCCAAGCACGAAAGUAACUUUAAAUAUCCUGACGCCACGAAAGCUGUGAAACAAACUGGGAUUAGAUACCCCACUAUG
rnacentral:rRNA from 2 species